rnacentral:rRNA from 1 species
GAUGAACGCUAGCGACAGGCUUAACACAUGCAAGUCGAGGGGCAGCACAGGUUGCAUUCCCGGAUUUCAACCGGCGCACGGGUGAGUAACGCGUAUGCAACUUACCUAUCAGAGGGGGAUAACCCGGCGAAAGUCGGACUAAUACUGCAUGUAGCAGGGGUCCCGCAUGGGGAUAUGUGCUAAAGAUUCAUCGCUGAUACAUAGGCAUGCGUUCCAUUUGUCUGUUGGCGUGGUAACGGCACACCAAAACGACGAUGGAUAUGGGUUCUGAGAGUGAGGUCACUGAGACUGGGACUGGGACAAGGACCAAACGCGAAGGAGAGGCAGCAGAGAGUAAUAUUUGGAAGUGAGUGAGAGGCUGAAACAGCCAAGUAGCGUGGAGGAUGAUCGUUCUAUGGAUCGUAGUCCUCUUUUAUGAGGGAAGGAAGUGCGGGACGUGUCCCGAUUUGUAUGUACCUAAUGAAUAAGGAACGGCUAACUCCGUG